ACGGGAGGCAGCAGUGGGGAAUAUUGCACAAUGGGCGAAAGCCUGAUGCAGCGACGCCGCGUGAACGAAGAAGUAUUUCGGUAUGUAAAGUUCUAUCAGCAGGGAAGAUAAUGACGGUACCUGACUAAGAAGCACCGGCUAAAUACGUGCCAGCAGCCGCGGUAAUACGUAUGGUGCAAGCGUUAUCCGGAUUUACUGGGUGUAAAGGGAGCGCAGGCGGCGCGGCAAGUCUGAAGUGAAAUCCCGGGGCUCAACCCCGGAACUGCUUUGGAAACUGUCGUGCUAGAGUGUCGGAGGGGUAAGCGGAAUUCCUAGUGUAGCGGUGAAAUGCGUAGAUAUUAGGAGGAACACCAGUGGCGAAGGCGGCUUACUGGACUGUAACUGACGUUGAGGCUCGAAAGCGUGGGGAGCAAACAGGAUUAGAUACCCUGGUA
rnacentral:rRNA from 1 species